AUGAAUAGAGAAAGAAACAUUGAAACCGAGGUGGAGAUUUCAUAUUGCAAAAAUCGAAAUCUCAUAUUCAAGAAUGAAUCAGAUGUCACUGAUCAAUCAAAGGGUGAAGUUGUGAAAUUUGCCUCGAGACGGAUUGUAAGAUUUUCACAAUUCCAUUUUGUUAAUUCUUAUAAUUAUAAUUAUAACCAUAAUUUGAUUUUGAUUUCGAUUCAAACCCAGAAUUUCCUGGUUUGGAGUUUAUUCUGA